GAUCCUGGCUCAGGAUGAACGCUAGCUACAGGCUUAACACAUGCAAGUCGAGGGGGAACGACAUCGAAAGCUUGCUUUUGAUGGGCGUCGACCGGCGCACGGGUGAGUAACGCGUAUCCAACCUGCCCAUCACUUGGGGAUAACCUUGCGAAAGUAAGACUAAUACCCAAUGAUAUCUCUAGAAGACAUCUGAAAGAGAUUAAAAGAUUCAUCGGUGAUGGAUGGGGAUGCGU
rnacentral:rRNA from 1 species